rnacentral:pre_miRNA from 1 species
UUAAUAGUCCCUCCGUCCGAAAUUACUUGUCGCAGAAAUGAAUAAAAAUGGAUGUAUCAAGAACUAAAAUACGUCUAAAUACAUCCAUUUCUCCGACAAGUAUUUCCGGACGGAGGGAGUAGAUC